UACGAAGGGGGCUAGCGUUGCUCGGAAUCACUGGGCGUAAAGCGCACGUAGGCGGCUUUCUAAGUCAGGGGUGAAAUCCUGGAGCUCAACUCCAGAACUGCCUUUGAUACUGGAAAGCUCGAGUCCGGGAGAGGUGAGUGGAACUCCGAGUGUAGAGGUGAAAUUCGUAGAUAUUCGGAAGAACACCAGUGGCGAAGGCGGCUCACUGGCCCGGUACUGACGUUGAGGUGCGAAAGCGUGGGGAGCAAACAGG
rnacentral:rRNA from 1 species